CACCAGAUAGCUCAGUUGUAAGAGCACCUGACUAGAGAAUUCAGGGGGUCCUGGUUCGAAUUCUGAUCUGGUCU
rnacentral:tRNA from 1 species